AGCAGAGUGGCUUCACUCAGUCGCCAGCGCUGAGGAAAGGAAGGCCUGUGCCAGCCGGCGUUCCCAGCGCAGACUGCCUUGCAAGCUGCUGGCAUGCAACAAAGACCAGUCUCCCGCGGGGACCGGGGUUACUGAGAGCAUGAGCUCUACACACACGUGCAUGGGUCUUGCCUGUGUCUAGGCGUCCCCCACCUGCAGCUGAGCCACAGGGUCCCCCUAAAACAUCACGGGGGGCAGACGGUACGGUCUUACGGGGCCCUUGUCUCUGAGCACCCGGAAGGCUAUAUCCAGGCUUGAGCUGGGGCCUGACCCGGGGCUCUGGGAUGCUCCUUCUCCCCGCCCUGCUGCCAAACUUCCCGUGUGGUCCGCACUUGCCCUGGACCCCCUCCUCCUCAGCUGCCCUGUCCUGCGCCCGCCCCGAGGGGCCGAAGCGGCAGUGCCUUACUGCUCCGUGUCUUCUGCCUCCCCUGAGGGAUCCGGCCCCGUCUCAUGGUCCCAGACCUCAAUUCUCUCGUCACUUGCAUGAGUUUGC